AAGGACCUGAAAAUAAGUCAAGGGCUAAGGGGCCUUAUGUUUAGACAAUCCAGCCCAUAAAGAUUAAGGGCACAUGACUUAGAAGGGGCUUUUCUGAAAAUCAGAUUCUUCAUUUAGCUAUUUUUCUUUCUCUCUUUAGAAACUCUUUCACAUAGUUGCUUUGCCUUCUCUCUAGAAUUUGAAUCCUUGGUUUGAAGGGGGCUAAGCGUACACGGCGUCAAGAGCUACACUUUGAACCGAUCAAUUUCUUCAUAUCAUUCCGGUAAGUGGUCUUUCUGUUUCCCUCCGCCAUUUUGAUACCUAGGGUUUGGGGUUCUACUGAUUUGAUGCAGUUAGAGUUG
rnacentral:lncRNA from 1 species